GAUGAAGAACGUAGCGAAAUGCGAUAAGUAAUGUGAAUUGCAGAAUUCAGUGAAUCAUCGAAUCUUUGAACGCACCUUGCGCCCUUUGGACUUCUGAAGGGCAUGCCUGUUUGAGUAUCAUGAACACCUCAACUCCUUAUGGUCUUCCAUGAUGAGCUUGGACUUUGGGGGUUUUGCUGGCCUACAGUCAGCUCCUCUAAAAUAAAUCAGCUUACCGGUGUUUGGUGGGUAUCAUGGGUAUGAUAACUAUCUACGCUCGUGGUUUUCCACCAGGUAACCUUCAGCAGUGGAGGUUCACUGGAGCUCAUAGAUGUCUCUCCUCAGCGAGGACAGCCCUUUGAAUGUUUGAUCUCAAAUCAGGUAGGACUACCCGCUGAACUUAAGCAUAUCAAUAAGCGGAGGA
rnacentral:misc_RNA from 1 species